CCUACGGGGGGCUGCAGUGAGGAAUAUUGGUCAAUGGACGAGAGUCUGAACCAGCCAAGUAGCGUGAAGGAUGACUGCCCUAUGGGUUGUAAACUUCUUUUAUAUGGGAAUAAAACGUUCCACGUGUGGGAUUUUGUAUGUCCCAUAUGAAUAAGGAUCGGCUAACUCCGUGCCAGCAGCCGCGGUAAUACGGAGGAUCCGAGCGUUAUCCGGAUUUAUUGGGUUUAAAGGGAGCGUAGGUGGAGUGUUAAGUCAGUUGUGAAAGUUUGCGGCUCAACCGUAAAAUUGCAGUUGAAACUGGCAGUCUUGAGUACAGUAGAGGUGGGCGGAAUUCGUGGUGUAGCGGUGAAAUGCUUAGAUAUCACGAAGAACUCCGAUUGCGAAGGCAGUUCACUGGACUGCAACUGACACUGAGGCUCGAAAGUGUGGGUAUCAAACAGGAUUAGAUACCCGAGUAGUC
rnacentral:rRNA from 1 species